GGAGACGGGCAGAGGGAGCUUGGGGCGCGACGAUUGGAGCAGGCGGCCAGUGCGCAGCGUCCAUGGAAGAUGGCGGCCAAGCAGGAGCUGGAGCUAAGACGGCGCGCAGGGAGGAGGGAGAUCCGAGCGCCAUGGGGAGCUCGGCCGAAGGGGCGACCUGGCACUGGGAGACGCCAUGGCGUGGAGCAGGGAGGAGCGCUGGGCAUCGAGCAGGGACGCGCGACCAGGGCCAAACACCGGAGAGCCGACGACGCAGUAGGGACCGAGUAGAGGAGGGAGAUGGGCGCCGAGUUGGAGGAGGUAGCCGCGGCACACAGGGGAAAAAUCAGGCGCGGCAGGAUUUUCUUCUCAGAGCUGAACAGCGGCUUGGACACGCGCGAAGAGAUA
rnacentral:misc_RNA from 1 species